GGUUUGACGGUACCUUUAAAGGAAGCACCGGCUAACUCCGUGCCAGCAGCCGCGGUAAUACGGGGGGUGCAAGCGUUGUUCGGAAUUAUUGGGCGUAAAGCGCGUGUAGGCGGUCUGAUUAGUCUGAUGUGGAAGCCCUGGGCUCAACCCAGGAAGUGCAUUGGAUACUGUCAGACUUGAAUACGGGAGAGGGUAGUGGAAUUCCUAGUGUAGGAGUGAAAUCCGUAGAUAUUAGGAGGGACACCGGUGGCGAAGGCGGCUACCUGGACCGAUAUUGACGCUGAGACGCGAAAGCGUGGGUAGCAAACAGGAUUAGAKACCCAGGUAGUCCACGCCGUAAACGAUGAGAACUAGGUGUCGCGGGUA
rnacentral:rRNA from 1 species